UUCCAAACCGAUUUAUCUUCCUCUACAAAAAUCCAAUUCACGUUAAAUCUAUCUCUUGCUCUUGCUUUCUCCAGCUUUCCAUCACGUAUUUUUUUUUUAAAUCAUUCCCAGAUCCAUCGAUUUGAAAUUGUAUAGAAAAAACAAUGGUAUUCGAUCCAAGUUUAUUGUCUUCUAUUUUUAUUAGAUUAAUUUCUCUUUAUUCCAGAUUCAUUUUUUUUCUCGGAAGAGCACAAUCGAUCAAAGUAUCAAUAGCGGAAAAAGAAACUGAACUGCACUCAUCUAUGACUGAAAGCUUCUGAUCAAGCCAUGAUAUUAAGUUAUAGAAGCUACGGUCUCAAAG